UUUUAAUGAGAGUUUGAUCCUGGCUCAGGACGAACGCUGGCGGCGUGCCUAAUACAUGCAAGUAGAACGCUGAAGUCU
rnacentral:rRNA from 1 species